CCUAGUGGGGAAAAAAGAACUAGCAAGGAUUCCCCUAGUAGCGGCGAGCGAGCGGGCAAGAGCUCAAAUUUAUAAUCUGGCACCUUCGGUGUCCGAGUUGUAAUCUCUAGAAAUGUUUUCCGCGUUGGACCGCACACAAGUCUGUUGGAAUACAGCGGCAUAGUGGUGAGACCCCCGUAUAUGGUGCGGACGCCCAGCGCUUUGUGAUACAUUUUCGAAGAGUCGAGUUGUUUGGGAAUGCAGCUCAAAUUGGGUGGUAAAUUCCAUCUAAAGCUAAAUAUUGGCGAGAGACCGAUAGCGAACAAGUACCGUGAGGGAAAGAUGAAAAGCACUUUGGAAAGAGAGUUAACAGUACGUGAAAUUGUUGGAAGGGAAACGCUUGAAAUCAGACUUGCUUGCCGAGCAAUCGGUUUGCAGGCCAGCAUCAGUUUUCCGGGAUGGAUAAUGGUAGAGAGAAGGUAGCAGUUUCGGCUGUGUUAUAGCUCUCUGCUGGAUACAUCUUGGGGGACUGAGGAACGCAGUGUGCCUUUUGGCGGGGGUUUCGACCUCUUCACACUUAGGAUGCUGGUGGAAUGGCUUUAAACGACCCGUCUUA
rnacentral:rRNA from 1 species